UCUGACCUUAGAGAUUUGCAGGAAUGACUGCUGUGUCACACCUGCAUUAGUUGGUGGCAGAGAGGAGAGAUGUUAUGGCUACAUUCAGUGUUCUGAUCUGUGAGCAUCUGAAUGAUCAGUAGCCCAGCAUG